UCCUCUCCCUCCCCGCCUCCCCCCACCCCCCGGUCCUCUAUGCUCAGUUCGGUGUGUGUAUCCUCUUUCAAAGGGCGCAAGGGUGGGAACAAGUCGUCCAACAAAGCAUGUUACAGCGCAGACAUGACUUGUCCGUUGGAAAGCGAGAAAAUUGUGAUAAACUGCGGCGGGGUGCGGCACGAGACCUACCGGAGCACCCUAAAAACGUUGCCCGGCACGCGCUUGUCGUGGCUCACUGAGCCGGACGCCUUCAGCAACUUCGACUACGACCCCAAAUUGGACGAGUUCUUCUUCGAUCGCCACCCGUCAGUCUUCUCCUUCAUCCUGAACUAUUACCGCACCGGGAAGUUGCAUUGUCCCAACGACGUGUGCGGACCCUUGUUCGAGGAGGAGCUGGCCUUCUGGGGCAUCGAUGAGACGGACGUGGAGGCGUGCUGCUGGAUGAAUUACCGGCAGCACCGGGAUGCGGAGGAGGCGCUGGACAGCUUCGAGACGCCGGAACCGGACGCGCCGGACGACGAUCCCGCACUCGGGGGUGCGGAUGGAGACUUGAAAAGACUGUGCAUGCAGGAAGACGCAAGGAAAGCGGGCUGGUGGAAAACCUGGCAACCCAAAAUAUGGGCGCUCUUUGAAGAUCCCUACUCCUCCAAAUAUGCUCGGUACGUGGCAUUUGGCUCCUUAUUCUUCAUCCUCAUUUCCAUCUCCACUUUCUGCAUGGAGACGCAUGAGGCCUUCAACACCAUCAUCAACAAGACAGAGAACUUCACAGUGGGCAACAUGACCCGCGAGGAAAUUGUAUACGAAGUAGUGACUGACAGCUGGUUAACGUACGUGGAGGGCGUGUGCGUCAUUUGGUUCACUAUUGAGGUUCUUCUGCGGGUCACCUUCUGCCCUGACAAAUUUGAAUUCUUCAAAAGCACCCUCAACAUAAUUGACUUUGUUGCUAUCCUGCCCUUCUAUCUGGAGGUAGGCUUGAGUGGUCUGUCCUCCAAAGCUGCCAAGGACGUCCUGGGGUUCCUCCGUGUUGUCCGAUUUGUCCGUAUUCUCCGAAUCUUCAAGUUGACCCGUCACUUUGUGGGACUUCGUGUCCUUGGCCACACCCUCCGAGCCAGUACCAAUGAAUUCCUCCUGCUCAUCAUCUUCUUAGCUCUUGGUGUCCUCAUCUUCGCAACUAUGAUCUACUAUGCUGAACGAAUUGGCGCCUCCCCAGAUGACCCUACAGCCAGUGCCCACACUAACUUCAAGAACAUCCCCAUUGGAUUUUGGUGGGCUGUUGUGACCAUGACCACGCUGGGCUAUGGAGAUAUGUACCCAGAGACGUGGUCAGGGAUGUUGGUGGGUGCAUUGUGUGCCUUGGCUGGUGUGCUAACCAUUGCUAUGCCUGUUCCUGUAAUUGUCAACAACUUCGGCAUGUACUACUCUCUUGCCAUGGCCAAACAAAAGCUACCUAAAAAGAAGAACAAACAUAUCCCACGAGCGCCUCAACCAGGGUCUCCCAACUACUGCAAACCAGAUGCCCUUGCAAUGGCUACUGCAUCCCCACAAAGGAUCUUGGGAAAUGUUCUAGGUGGAGUGAUGGAAUCUGGAGGCUUAGGGGGUGACUGCCCUCUUGCCCAAGAAGAAAUAAUAGAGAUCAACAGAGAUUCCAAGCAAAAUGGUGAUGCAGCCUCGGCCGCCCUGGCUAACGAAGACUGCCCCACCAUCGACCAGGUGCUGAGCCCGGAUGAGAGGAGCCCAAUUGGGCGAGGGCCCACCCGGGAACGUUACCAGCAGGACCGUGCCUGCUUCCUGCUCAACACCCGGGAAUUCCGUCCAACAGAUGGGAAUGUGCGGAAAGAGGCAGCAGCGCUGGCACAGAGUUCAGACUCCUCUCUGACUGAGGAUUGGUAUAAGAUGGAUGGGUCUCUGUUUCAGCAGGACCUCAAUGCAAACUCCACCUCAUCCUGGAUCAAACCAUAGAUAAGGCCGCCACUGCAGUGCAAGUGUAACUAAAGUCUGACAGUAGGUAGUGUUAAGUUUCUAGCAUUCGCCUUCUCUCUAACAAGGAGUCAGAAACCACUACUCACAAAUUUGCGGCGGGAGCCACAUAAGAGAGAGAGAGAUGUGACACGGAUGGAUGGUUAAAGGAGAUCUUUGGGGUGACAAGAGAGAGAGACCAGAGAUUAAUCAUAAAAUUGAAAAAAAAAAAUAAAGAAAAAAUUUGAAUGGUCUGCUCGUCAUAUUGUUACCAAAGCAGCCUCUCGGAACUCCAACCACAGUUCUGACAACUGUCUGACUGACCUUAUUUUGUUUUGUUAGUUUUUUUUGGCAUCUGACUGAACAUUGCACUGACACUCUGGGAGAAAAAAAUGGGACUCCUGAGUACACAUUCCAGAUGAAGUCACUUUGACAGCAUUAUAUUUGCCAUCUUGUGCGAUGAUCGACACCCUCAACAGUGCUGAACCAGGGGCACCGAGUGAACCAUGUAGCAUCUCUGCUAACACAUUGUAGCAUUUGUUGGCUGGAAACGAACUUGACUCAGCUGCAUCAGUGAUUGGACGACAGAGGAAUUUUAUGCAUUCAAGAAUACUUUCAGAUGUCAUUUUCCUCUUUAGUACAUUUCUAGUGAGUGAGCGAGAGAGAAAUACAGCAACAAAUACAGCAGACGUGAUGGACAAAUGAUCAGUUAGCCGACGUUCUUCCUCCCAACAAAUAGAUAGAAGGCACUGCAUCCAAAGAGUGCACGCUAAACCAAUCAGUAGAUCAGUCACCUUUUCCACCAAAGCUGUCUUCCAUUUCCAUUAACCAGACUGUAAAACACUGCCCUUCCCGGAAAUACUGCGAAAGCAGAGAUAAUUGUGAAGCUGAGCAGACAAAGCACAUGUAGCAUCAGCGCUAACAGAUUGUCCUAGGCGUUUGUAGAUCAUGCUAAUAGAACUAUGUUAUCUUUAGCUCAGAUGGGCUUAUCUUAAAAUCCACUCGGAUACCAAAGGUACUGUGGCAUGCACUUCUUAAUGUGUUGUAGAUUAGGACCAAUAUUGCAUUUAGAGUGAGGUAAUACCGUACAGUCAUUCCGUUAUAAGAGAAAUACUUAGUAUUUUAACUGCCACUGACGUUAUGCAUAUUUCCACAGUACCCCCCCGUAAGAUACCACCACCACCAAAAACUGAUCGGGUCGAUCCUUUGAGAGGCUCAUGAUCCUCAAUGUCAACGCAAAGUCAACAAUAUGCUUUUUAAUCACAUAUUUAGCUGGAUUUCCUGUUGUGAUUUUUUUUUUUAAAUGGGACCAAUCAGAUCAAUGCUCCCGCUCAACGUGAACGGCGACACUGCCAGUUUAGGCACAAGUAUCCCCCAUCUCUCUCUUGUCCCUCUUGCUGCCAAUGACUUGCUUCUAAGGCAAAAGCCAAUGUGGAAAGGAAGACGGAACCCUUCGGCACAGAAAUGGACCAAGAGUAGAGAAAGCGUGGAAGUGUACAAAGAGAUCAAAUCUAUAUUUUGAUAAACACAAAUAUUUGUGGCAUUAGAUGUGAAGAAAAGAUGUAGAUUGGGGGGGAGGUGGGAAUAAUCAGUGUGGGAAACUGGGAGUGGGUAUGGAUCAGUUGCCUUCUCCACAAAGCAACAGAGUUAUUCUGUUUUUUCUUUGAGAAAGACGUUAAGCAAUGAAAGACUCUUUCCUAGAAAGAAAAUCACAGGGGAUAACAGAAGGAUGGAUGCUGAGAUGAAGAAAUGGGG